rnacentral:lncRNA from 1 species
GCGUGAGAUAACUUGGGAUGCACAUCCCAAGUGGAGAGAGGCUAGCUUGGAUGAUCUUAGGACCUUAAGGGAGAUCCCCUUUUAUAGGCACAAAGAUUGAAUAUUAUUCAAUCAUAUAAUAUAAGCCUUACUUGCAUUAGGAUUUCUAUUAACUUAAGUUAUCCAACUUACGUUAGAAAAUCCAUUAGGCGCCAACUAUUGGAGCCCUUGCACCCAU